UACGUAGGGCGCAAGCGUUGUCCGGAAUUAUUGGGCGUAAAGAGCUCGUAGGUGGUUUGUUACGUCUGCUGUGAAAACCUAGGGCUUAACCCUGGGCCUGCAGUGGAUACGGGCAGACUAGAGGUAGGUAGGGGAGAAUGGAAUUCCCGGUGUAGCGGUGAAAUGCGCAGAUAUCGGGAGGAACACCGGUGGCGAAGGCGGUUCUCUGGGCCUUACCUGACACUGAGGAGCGAAAGCCAGGGGAGCAAACGGG
rnacentral:rRNA from 1 species